rnacentral:lncRNA from 1 species
CAACAGUAAUAAUAAUAGUACUCUAAAAACCUAGUUGGUGUCCUUCAUUGUGAGUCAGAACGACAAUAAGUAACAUCUGGUUUUUGUGUUUUUCCUGUUCUGGGUUUCCAAGAGCUGUUUGUAAGUCUAACUAGGGCAGUAGCCUGAAUCCUUGACAGGAGAAAUUGCCUUUCCUUGUUCUGAAGCAACCUCUCUGACUAAUCCAAGGCCUCACCUUAAGUUGCCCUUGUUGUAUCUUCUGGAUAGUUGAGACUUGGUAAAAGGCAGUGAGAAGUGGAGGAACCUCAGAAAAAGUAACGUGCUUCAGAUCCAAUGCUGCCCCUUUCUGUCUGCAGGCAAGUCAGGCAGUGAGCUUUUCAGUGAUGACAGCAGGCCACAGUAUUUACUGAAGGCAGCAGAGUUGGUGGUUUGGGGACACAUGGGAAGACUGAAGGAAAAAGGAGGCCAGUCCCACUCUCUGCCUCAGCUUCACUCAGGCUGGAGUCUUGGAGGUCCAGGUUUUGUGAAAAUAAAGGACUAAGUAGAGCAGAGAGCCCCUCUUCUCUUAUCCUCUGCAGCACUGACUACAAGAGCUUGGCUGCUA